UACGAGGGGGGCAAGCGUUGUUCGGAAUUACUGGGCGUAAAGCGUGCGUAGACGGUAGCGUAAGUCAGAUGUGAAAGCCCCGGGCUCAACCUGGGAAUUGCAUUUGAGACUGCUCUGCUCGGGUGCGGAAGAGGGAAGCGGAAUUUCCGGUGUAGCGGUGAAAUGCGUAGAUAUCGGAAGGAACACCAGUGGCGAAAGCGGCUUCCUGGUCCGACACCGACGUUCAGGCACGAAAGCGUGGGGAGCAAACAGG
rnacentral:rRNA from 1 species